AUGCCUCCUCGAUCUUGGAUUCGCCUUCCUCCUUCCUUCUCCCUCGAGAUGCCGCCUAGUGGGUCUCUGGAGCUCUGGCUGCAGUAUGCUGACUGCAGCACCCUUGCGACCGGAGCGGAGGUCGCGGUCGUCGCUCCGGGCAAGGUCUACAUGACCCGUGGCUGGGGUGAGAUCGCCCGGGUCUGCCGGACAGGGGGCGCCCUCAUAAUCCAUCUUGAAUACGAUUGUUCCUCCUUGAUGUUCUUCAAGGUUUUCGAUGCGGAAGGACGCCGACUAGAAUGCUGCCCCAAGAAAGGCGGUCGAGGCGUCGUCGUGGCGAGGACCAGGCCAGCCAACCGCUUCCCCAGCAGCUCCUCAGGCAGCAGCGGAGGUGCCGGAGGGUCCAGCAACUCCGCCGAGCUUCACGCGACUCCGGAGACGAGCGACGAUAGCUACGAUCCCCCGAGCUCGCGUAACGCUCGGAGCAGGGCGGGUGCUUCAGGCCGCCGGCGCUGCUGA
rnacentral:rRNA from 1 species